AUGUACAUGAAGGCGGGGUAAAGUGACUAGACAUCAGGAUAGAUAAUAAUAAGGUAUUUGAGGUAGAUAUGUACAUGAAGGCAGGGUAAAGUGAUAUCAGGAUAGAUAAUAAUAAGGUAUUUGAGGUAGAUAUGUACAUGAAGGCAGGGUAAAGUGACUAGACAUCAGGAUAGAUAAUAAUAAGGUAUUUGAGGUAGAUAUGUACAUGAAGGCAGGGUAAAGUGACUAGACAUCAGGAUAGAUAAUAAUAAGGUAUUUGAGGUAGAUAUGUACAUGAAGGCAGGGUAACGUGACUAGACAUCAGGAUAGAUAAUAAUAAGGUAUUUGAGGUAGAUAUGUACAUGAAGGCAGGGUAAAGUGACUAGGCAUCAGGAUAGAUAAUAAUAAGGUAUUUGAGGUAGAUAUGUACAUGAAGGCAGGGUAACGUGACUAGACAUCAGGAUAGAUAAUAAUAAGGUAUUUGAGGUAGAUAUGUACAUGAAGGCAGGGUAAAGUGACUAGACAUCAGGAUAGAUAAUAAUAAGGUAUUUGAGGUAGAUAUGUACAUGAAGGCAGGGUAAAGUGACUAGACAUCAGGAUAGAUAAUAAUAAGGUAUUUGAGGUAGAUAUGUACAUGAAGGCAGGGUAAAGUGACUAGGCAUCAGGAUAGAUAAUAAUAAGGUAUUUGAGGUAGAUAUGUACAUGAAGGCAGGGUAAAGUGACUAGGCAUCAGGAUAGAUAAUAAUAAGGUAUUUGAGGUAGAUAUGUACAUGAAGGCAGGGUAAAGUGACUAGACAUCAGGAUAGAUAAUAAUAAGGUAUUUGAGGUAGAUAUGUACAUGAAGGCAGGGUAAAGUGACUAGACAUCAGGAUAGAUAAUAAUAAGGUAUUUGAGGUAGAUAUGUACAUGAAGGCAGGGUAAAGUGACAUCAGGAUAUAUAAUAAUAAGGUAUUAGAGGUAGAUAUGUACAUGAAGGCAGGGUAAAGUGACUAGACAUCAGGAUAGAUAAUAAUAAGGUAUUUGAGGUAGAUAUGUACAUGAAGGCAGGGUAAAGAGACAUCAGGAUAGAUAAUAAUAAGGUAUUUGAGGUAGAUAUGUACAUGAAGGCAGGGUAAAGUGACUAGGCAUCAGGAUAGAUAAUAAUAAGGUAUUAGAGGUAGAUAUGUACAUGAAGGCAGGGUAAAGUGACUAGACAUCAGGAUAGAUAAUAAUAAGGUAUUAGAGGUAGAUAUGUACAUGAAGGCAGGGUAAAGUGACUAGACAUCAGGAUAGAUAAUAAUAAGGUAUUAGAGGUAGAUAUGUACAUGAAGGCAGGGUAAAGUGACUAGGCAUCAGGAUAGAUAAUAAUAAGGUAUUUGAGGUAGAUAUGUACA